UGAUUCAAUGCUACGUCAGCAGUGGUACCAAAAGAUGGCAGUGUCCAUAGUAAACCGCCUGGCUGCUGAAGCGUGUUUAUUAAUAUUUACUUUAAUAUUCCAACAUAGUAAUGCCAAUAAUAUCGCCGCCGCUGCUUCGACUGCAGAAGCCCCAAACCGCAGGUUUGAAUACAAGUACAGUUUCAAGGGACCGCACCUGUCUCAAGCCGACGGGAGUAUUCCCUUUUGGGUACACAGUGGAAAUGCCAUCCCCAGUGCCGAUCAGGUCCGUAUCACCCCCUCUCUCAGGAGUCAGAAGGGCUCGGUCUGGACCAAGUCCACGGUCAACUUUGACAACUGGGAAGCAGAGGUGACAUUCCGUGUGUCUGGACGAGGGAGGAUGGGAGCGGACGGCCUGGCGAUAUGGUUCACUACUGCACAAGGCCUGGAUGGUCCUGUCUAUGGAGCCGCUGACAACUGGAACGGUAUCGGCAUCUUCUUCGAUUCCUUCGACAACGAUGGGAAGAAAAAUAACCCUGCUGUGCUGGUAGUGGGAAACAAUGGCAAACUUGUUUAUGAUCACCCAAAUGAUGGCACGACUCAGGCCCUGGGGACAUGCUUAAGAGACUUCCGUAACAAACCCUAUCCUGUCAGAGCCAAAAUAACAUACUAUAAAAGAACACUAACAGUGCUGAUCAACAAUGGUUUCACGCCAGAUAAGGAUGACUAUGAGUUCUGUACAAAAGUGGACAACAUGGUCAUUCCACAGGAGGGCUACUUCGGCAUCUCAGCUGCCACUGGGGGUCUAGCAGACGAUCAUGAUGUCCUGUCCUUCUUGACGUUCAGACUAUCAGAGCCUGGCCAAGAACUGCCCCCACCUGAAGCAGAGAUGCCCAAGCAGGACAAGGACAAGUACCAGGAGGAAUUUGAGAACUUUCAGCAGGAUCUGGACAAAAAGAAAGAGGACUACCAGAAGGAGCAUCCGGACGUUCAGGGACAACCCAUUGAGGACAUGUAUGAGAGUGUGAACGACAGAGAGAUCCGCCAAGUGUUUGAGGGCCAGAACCGGAUCCAUCUGGAGAUCAAGCAGCUUCACCAUCAGCUGGCCGUGAUCCUGGACGAACAACGACGCUACGUAUCCGUGGCUACCGACGAGAUCUCCAAGCGCCAAGGGGAGUCUGGAGGACAGGUGGGACAGGCUCCGAGUCAAGAGAUGGGUGCAGUGGUUGCAACACAACAGGAAGUACUGAGGAACCUGAACGAGUUGAGAAACUCGUUCUAUGAGUCUCUGAAGCAGAUUGGUGCCAGCCAGCAUCAGGGCAACGCAGUUGGCAUGGGAACGUAUGAGACGGUCCAACACUUCAACGACAUCAAGGAACAUCUACACGUGGUCAAGAAGAACAUCGAACACCUCAUCACACGCACUGGGGUUUGUCUAACUUAUUUGACUGUAAAUCUCAGGGGUUAUCCACACGUCUUUCUCAAGUCUGUUCCUGAUUCCUCGAACUUCGCCUCCUUCGCCAACCACAUUGGAAGAGAAGAUCCAUGGUCCUUCUCCCUCAGACCUUCUCCUCCAAUGUGUUUUGAGAAGACGGGAAAGAACGAAGACAUGAGGAAUCUAGAUUUUUACUGUAUAUUUUUGUGUCUUAUGCUGCAUGUAGAACCCCAGUGAAAAGCAGGUGAUGAACUGCCCUGAUCCCCCUCCAAUGCCUUCCUGUUUGGGUACCACACACUUCCUGGUCUUUGUGGUCAUCCAAUCAGUCCUGUUCUUCAGCUACAUUAUGUACAAAAGUCAACAAGAAGCAGCAGCAAAGAAAUUCUUUUGAUGAAACACUCAUCAUGAUCAUGCCAAUAUGUAAAUGAGAGACUGUUCAUUUUUCCUGGUUAUUUUGAUUUGGUUUUGUUUUUCAAAAUUGUAAAUUAUUGUACUUGAAAUUUAGAUUUUGUUUGAGAAGUUUAUUUUUUAAUUUCUUAGUUUUAAUUUGAUCUGAUGUUAUGUAUAGGGUAUGUGAAUGAAUGCUCGUGUGGGACAUUUUGUUAAAAGAUUCCAAAUAUGAUGUAAUAUAUUCUAUACAGUAUUUUGACAAGUCGUUGGGUGAUAUUCUGAUCUUUCGACUGAUUUUUGAUAAGUUCCCACUCUCAGAAAACAAAAACACCGUAUGCCCAUUCACAUAGCUUGGAGAACUGUGGAUUUAAUAAAUGUGCAAUUUUGUAUGAAUUCUGAACUGUUGAACAAAAGCCAGAGUGGAUGUCCAAUAUGUGUGUCUUCUUGAAUGGUUGAAGCAUGCCAAUCUGGCAUUUUUCUUUUUUCUUCUCAAGCAAAUUUACAUAAACAAAAAACAAACCAA